GGUAAGGUCUGCGUACACACUACCUUCUCCAGACCCCACUAAGUGGGAUUAUACUGGGUUAUUAUUGUUGUUGUUGAAUUUUGCCUUAUGUUGAGUUUUAAUUUGUAUUUAAAAUGUAUGUAAUUGUUUCAAGUACGUUGGUGAAGUAGUGCAAGUCUUAGGGUGGUUUUGUAUUUAUUUUGUAAUUUUUGUUUUGAGAAUUGUAUUCAAUUUGCGUAUUUUAUUUUCCAAUGUAUCCUUUGGAAAUUGUUUUUUCCCAAAGUUAAUAAGAACAUACUGCCUCCAAAACCGUAGGUCUUUUAUUUAGAGACCGUUUGCAAUCUUUAAUUUUGAGAAUAAGUGAGAAAAUUAUGCUGACGAUAAUAUAACAUUAACUUUUUAAUUAUUUGUAUCUAUUUUUAGAAUAUUAAAGAGAGUGACGGCCAGCCAGCUCCUUCUGAUACUUUUCCCAUGUCAGAAAAUUUAGACUUCUCGAUCAAUUAGUAAUGAACUAUUGAUCCUUGAUUCAAGAGUAACAGCUCCACAUUAACCAGCUUGCAUACAAUCAAAUGUGUAAUUUAUAAUGUAUAAGAAUCAUUUUAGGUUACAUGCUACGGUUCAAGAUUCGAAAUGUUCUAAAUGUGUAUAGUUAAUUGUCCGAAGCAUGUUUAACAUCUUCAAGAUUUUGCAUGAAGACGAUGACAUAAAGACCGUAUUGUCAGAAGUUCAAUAGGAACCAUUUGUCAUAAAUUACAUUUUACCAUAAAUUGUAAAAAAAAAAAAAGGCACUUAACUCUUUGAGUUGAAUUAUAAAAGGAAUUAAGCACAGUAACAGAAAGCUGAUAAACCAACUGAGACCGCGAGAACGAACAGGAAAAUAGUAUACUUAACUUGGGAGAAGCAUCAUGUUCAAAUCCCUAUAUGAAUGAUUCCAUGGAAUCCGCCCAAUCGGCUUUGCUAGGUUUUGAAGAUACCAAAAAACGCAAAACUCGAUUUACAAUCAAAUACGUAGAUACAACAACAAAAUAUGCAGAAGAAAUCAAAUCAACCAUUAGCACAUAAAACAAAAGGGGAAAAUGAAAAAUAGAACAAACAGGACGAAAAUAACAAUCAAACAAAAGACAUAAUUUCAAACAAUAUCGAAUCGAAGAGGAAAACGCAGAAGAAGAUUGCGCUUGUCCUUUUGGAUUCUCUGAUCAGAUUGAAGAAGAAAACAUGGAAGACAAAGAGCUUAUUGAAGGAAAAGCAGAUGAAAGAACUCGGUAGAACGGUAAAAUUAGGUUAGCAAAAUCCACCAACAUAGUCCGCAGACAAAUGCAGCUCAUUAUAUUUGUGUCAAUUAAGUGCAUGGAACUUGUAAUCUAAGACCAAUGGUGGAACGAAGUUAAUUAUAAGCCUAUUGACAUAUACCUUGUUUAAGGAAGCACACGGCCACAAAAAAAUUAUGGACACUUACUAUUUCCGCAAGACUAAUGAAUUCAUAUACAUCUAUUAUUUAAUUAAUCAUAGUAACUCAACCAUACUCUCACCUUAAUUUUUCACUUAAACAUUAGAAAAUUAGUGUGAAUUGGUAUAUAUAAACUUCAGGUGUAACCAACUUAACCUUUAAAGAAUUAUCCACUGAUAGUUAUAAUUAACUUAAGCCAAUAGAGAAAUUUCUUGUCUUUACCCAAACGACUUGCAGGUUCUAUAUCCACUUUUACUCUCAAUUGAACGAAAGCAGGCAACAACACCAGACAAUCAAAUCUAUGCCUCCAUGAAGAAAUGGAAAGUCUACGUGGUCGAAUAGCCUCCCAGUAGAAGCAAGAGUUCUAAAAUCAAGAAAUUUAAGAGUAACUUGACAAUCUGAUGUUUUGAGCCUACAAUAAAAAAGCGCAAAAUGACAAUACAAAAUAAAAAGAGACAACAGAAGAACAGAAUAUAUAUGGUUCUUUGUAAUUGUUGUUGAUUCAUGGAAUUAUGAAUUGUAACGUACAACGGUCUCUUUAUUUGCUAGCAAAUUCAAUGUACUUAUAUGUUUAUACGUAAUGUAUAAUUGUCUAGUGUCUGAAUUUUUAAUUUUAUUUUAUAAAUCUGCAUUGGUUUUUAAAGAGCAUAAUGAUGGCAGAAAGUUGAAGAGACUCAACACUAUUAUCAUGAUAAACAUUAAUUAUUCAAAAAUAUUUUUACCUUUUUGUGCAUCUAUAUUAAAAGAAUAGUUUAGAUAUUAAAGGGCGGAAAAGUCAUUUAAUUUCUUGUAGAUUUUUGGUCUUUCAGUCUUCGAGAGUGAAAGGAUGAAGUCGUACAGUUUUCUCAGUACCAUCCAAGACAUCAUAAAUUGUUUAAUUUCAGUUAUACUUUUUCCUAGAUAGAUGAUUGUGGAGUCCAUCACACUGCAUUGUUGUAGAUGGUUCAAAAAGAAUUUGAUAUAAGUAGGUAAAAAAAAAUAUAUCAAGAGAAAUGCAUUGAACUCAAGCAGAACAAUAAGAAUGGAAGUCAAACUCUACCUUAUUUGACUUUAGAGCCAACCGUUGUAGCAUUCAGUUGAAAAAACAAUCUUCUCUGUCCCUCUUCAUCUGUGACCUGAAAAUCAAUUACUUUUAUAAGUAAAGGAUCCAAAUUGAAAACGAUAGAGCUUCUGAGGAUAAAAAGGUUUGAUCAAGCACUUCUAUACAGCGUGCAGCACUGACAUGUGUCCAAAUGCAAUAUAGGAUCAAUACAGUACUAAAGAUAAGAUAAAGAAAAAUAUCGAUUUUCUCAUAUUGUCAAUGAGUACCACUACUAAUGGCAAUGCCAAAGUAUUAUCGUCGUACACUUCCUCCCUCAACUAUAAAGUGCGAUGUUUCAUUAGAUGUUCAGCUGUAAUCUACAACAAUUAUGUAAUAUAGGAAACAACAUUCCAAAUGUCAAAAAUCCAGUAAGCAAUUUUAGGGGUUGCUAGUUAGAUCCGAUAAACAAUUUUCAAGAUUGGCUAAUCAAGAAGCUUGGAUUUCAUAGAUUACUUAAAGCUCAAUUGACUAUACUAUCCACUUAAUGAAUUUAAACACGAACUAAACUACUUCAAAGGUAAAAUUUAUAUUAAUAUUUGCCUUUGAAUUUAGUUUUCCUUCCCCUUCCAAUCAUUCCAAUCAAGAAGGGAAUGGAACCUUGAAAGUCAUUAGAAAUAAACCAAUAACUAUAUAAUAGUCUAUAUAAAAUGUCAUCAGUUCAAAGAAAAACAUAUGACAUAGCAUCAUAGCCUAAUUUGACCAGUAGCUACAUAACAUCAAAGAACAUCAAAUACAACAGAUGGUAACAAAAUAAAUAGACUUGAAGUAGUAAUUAAUAAAGAAUACUCAUUUUAUAUAACAUAAGACCACGGAUCCAAACUUAUGAUACAAAUUAACUUAAUUUUUAUGCAUCACAAGUUGCAAAUAUUCAUUAGUAGAGUUUGUCACCAGGCUACUAGCUAUGACAUUGAGAAGUAUGGAACCAACCCAACAAAGACAUGGAAAGGGGAAAAAAUGAAUAAAAAAGGAGAAGAAGAUUGGGAAGAGAUUGAAAGAAAACCAUACCUGAGAUUUAAACACCCAACAGGGAAGAAGAUUAAGUGCAAUAAAAGGUCUUUAUUCCAAGACUGAAGAAACUGAAGAAGCAUUAGUUGAAGGUGGAAAAAGGAGGAGGGUGUUGCUGUCAUCGUACAAAUACAUCACUGCUGAUGCUAAAUGACUAAACUGCCCUCAAGCUUUUUGAAAUAGACACUAAACAGACAAGUCGAAACUCAAGCGCUUCCAAUAUAUAGUAAAGUAAAGUAAUAUAUAUGAAAAUUAAAACAUUUGUAUUGCAAAAUAUAUCGACUGAAAACAGUUUUGAGCGUAUUUAAUUGUUAGUUCUAAGGCUCCAAUGUCAUUCAGCCAAUUGGUCGAACAUAUGGCAUGCAAUUUCAGGGAAAUAUAUGAAAGUGCGAUAUGAAUUAGCCAUCCCAAAACAAUUAGGGCAAAGUAAUCACAGCAACCCUUGAUCAAUUUCACACAACCAUCAAAAUAGUCCAAAAUAAGAAGAAAAACUAAAGAUAUCUAUCAAAAUCUCAUCACCGUAUAAAGGAAAUAGAACAGAGCCCAAAAACGCAAAGAAAGAAACUGCAAAAACCAACACAUAUCAUCAAAAUCCCAUCACCAAGAAAAUCCGCAGAAUUCACAUAUAUGAUAAACCCCAAAACCAAACAGCAAAUGAAAAAAUGUAUAAAUCUAAGUAAAAGCUAAUGGCCAGAGUGAAGAAGAAACUUAAGGAACAGCCAGAAUAGGGCAAUAAUCGAGCAGAAAGACUUAAGACCAAACUCAAAUUUCAACUCAAGAAGGUCACCUGGUUUUAGCCCUUUCUCGGUCUUACGCUUUGAUUGCCAUGAAUUGUUUCUCCGUGCAUGCCUUGAAAAUUCCAGAUUGGGAUACUGAGUAGAAAGAGAGAAAAGGGAUUAAGAUGUUAAAGAGAAGAGAUGGUAGACACGUAUACGCAUGAUACAACAAAAGUGAUGCUAAAUGACUAAAUUGCCCUCAAUCUUUUUCAAAUAGACACUAAACAGACAUCUCGAAAAACUUGCUCUUCUAAUAUACAGAAACUAGGUUUACGCUUAUAAGCUUGUCGCACGUUUUCUCAUUCCAGUUUCCCUAAAUAAGCAUGGCUAAAGAAAAGAAGAAGAAGCUAGAGCACCAAAACCCUAGCCCUAGCAAACCCGCCGAUGAAGAAGCAGAACAAGAAGGCAAAAAUGAUACACAAUACUCCCAACAUCAAGAAAUUGACAAAGUAAAAUCCGAUAAGAAGAAGAAAAAGAAAGAGAAGCAGCUUGCCGUGACAAUUGAAACCAUCGCUGAAAACCUUAAUAAGACAUCUCCGAUUGUUGGUUACUUCUCUUCAGGUUAUGACCCGUUAAGG
rnacentral:lncRNA from 1 species